GAGUUUGAUCGUGGCUCAGAUUGAACGCUGGCGGCAGGCCUAACACAUGCAAGUCGAGCGGAAAGGCCCUUCGGGGUACUCGAGCGGCGAACGGGUGAGUAACACGUGAGUAAUCUGCCCCGCGCUUUGGGAUAGCCAGCCGAAAGGCUGAUUAAUACCGAAUACGACACUCUCCGGCAUCGGGUGGGUGUGGAAAGUUUUUUCGGCGUGGGAUGUGCUCGCGGCCUAUCAGCUUGUUGGUGGGGUAAUGGCCUACCAAGGCUUCGACGGGUAGCCGGCCUGAGAGGGUGACCGGCCACACUGGGACUGAGACACGGCCCAGACUCCUACGGGAGGCAGCAGUGGGGAAUAUUGGACAAUGGGCGGAAGCCUGAUCCAGCAACGCCGCGUGAGGGAUGACGGCCUCGGUUG
rnacentral:rRNA from 1 species